rnacentral:rRNA from 1 species
CAGUGGGGAAUAUUGCACAAUGGGCGCAAGCCUGAUGCAGCGACGCCGCGUGGGGGAUGACGGCCUUCGGGUUGUAAACCUCUUUCAGCUCUGACGAAGCGCAAGUGACGGUAGGAGCAGAAGAAGGACCGGCCAACUACGUGCCAGCAGCCGCGGUAAUACGUAGGGUCCGAGCGUUGUCCGGAAUUACUGGGCGUAAAGAGCUCGUAGGUGGUUUGUCGCGUUGUUCGUGAAAUCUCACAACUCAAUUGUGAGCGUGCGGGCGAUACGGGCAGACUGGAGUACUGCAGGGGAGACUGGAAUUCCUGGUGUAGCGGUGGAAUGCGCAGAUAUCAGGAGGAACACCGGUGGCGAAGGCGGGUCUCUGGGCAGUAACUGACGCUGAGGAGCGAAAGCGUGGGGAGCAAA